AUCACUUCUCGGCCUUUUGGCUAAGAUCAAGUGUAAGCACUGAAUCAUAAAAUUAUAAAACAACCUUUUUGGAAAUAGUAUAUACUUCUGCCAGCGAUGCUGCCUUUGUUCACACCUGGGGCCUGUUAGCCUCAUGCUUACUUAAGCCUGUACUCAGUCGUCCCGGGAUACUUU
rnacentral:snRNA from 1 species